ACGGAAGGCAGCAGUAGGGAAUAUUGCACAAUGGGGGAAACCCUGAUGCAGCAACGCCACGUGUGGGAAGACGCAUUUCGGUGUGUAAACCACUGUCGUGAGGGAAUAAGGACGCUUCUCGGAGCGUUUGAAUGUACUUUGAAAGGAAGCACCGGCAAACUUCGUGCCAGCAGCCGCGGUAAUACGGGGGGUGCAAGCGUUGUUCGGAAUCACUGGGCGUAAAGGGAGCGCAGGCGGAGAUGCAAGCAGUCUGUACAAUACCGGGGCCCAACCCCGGACCUGCAGACUGGACUGUUUCUCUUGGAUAGCUCAGGGGCUGGCGGAAUUCCUGGUGUAGCGGUGGAAUGCGUAGAGAUCAGGAAGAACACCGAUGGCGAAGGCAGCCAGCUGGGGGCUUAUCGACGCUCAUGCUCAAAAGUGCGGGUAGCAAACAGGAUUAGAUACCCUGGUA
rnacentral:rRNA from 1 species